rnacentral:lncRNA from 1 species
GGGUCUAAUCAGAGCUGUAGCCACUAGCCUAUGCCAGAGCCAUAGCAACGCGGGAUCCCAGCUGCAUCUGCGACCUACACCACAGCUCACGGCAACGCCGGAUCCUUAACCCACUGAGCAAGGCCAGGGAUCAAACCCUCAAUCUCAUGGUUCCUAGUCGGAUUUGUUAACCACUGUGCCAUGACGGGAACUCUUAAGUGUUGGAUUCAGAUAUGUCUCUGUUGCUUCUGUUACACUGAACUGUUUCCUAGGUCAUACCAGUUAUGAUAGAUCAGAUAAUAGGCACAGUAGAUCUAACGAAAGUUUAGAGAAUACAAUGAAAAGAUCAGGGAAUUAACAAGCAGUAUAGUAAAAGUAUUAGAGAAGUGAUAAAUGUUCAUUAACACUGAAUUAUGCAUGGUAUAGAUAAAUAAAUGAAUAAGUAAGGAUAUAAGCUUGUCUUCAGAUAACUCAUAUAUAAUUGAAAAGAAAAUGCAUGCACAAGAGAAAAAUCAUUCAAAAGUUUUGGGUAUAAUAUUUUGGAGGUAGGACUUUGGAGAAAGAGAAAUCGAUUUGUAUAACACUGAGUCCGGCUGUUCAAUACCAAAGUCACUAGUCAAACAUGAGUAGUUACUGAACACUUGAAUUGUGUGCUAAUGCAAAUUGAGAUGGCCCAAAAGUGUUAAUUAAAUAUAGAGAAUUUCUUAGUAAAAAAAAAAUAAAUGAUUUAAUUAAAUUUUAUAUUAAUAUCAAAAUAAUAUUUUGAUAUAUAUGGUUAAAUGACAUAUAUUCUUAAAAUCAUUUUUAUUCUCUUUUCAGACUUUUUUUUAACAUGGCUACUAGAAAAUUUUAAAUUGCAUACAUGGCCCACAUUUAACCUUAUUGGAUAGGGACUGACUUAGAGAGGACAUGGAGAGCUCCCAGAACUGCUUGGAAGGAUGAGAUGAAGAGCAGGCCUGGGAAGCGGAGAAAGACAAGGAGUCAGUGGAAUAGUAGGAGACUUUUUGGUGACACUUUCCAUAGUUCUAAAUCAAACUGCAAAACCUUUCUCGUAAGCAUUUCUUGUGAAAAAGCCCAGUUUUGCAUGCAAGACAAAGGAAGGUAACUAUUCUGUGUCACCAGAAUACCUAAGCUUGAGGGGUCUAGGAGAGUGUAAUUUCAUCCCUCUUCACAUCUCAAAUUGAACCAGUGUGAGAAGCUGUGGACUUCAUCACAAUUUAAAAUCAAGUUUAGUUAGCCUUCUCAAAGAUGAGGGAACCAUUCUUUAGCCUCUGGAUUAUAAAUUAUUCUUAAGAAAUAUAAAUAGCACUCUAAAUACCAGAUUAAUUAAAUCCAUUCAGUAAUAUUUAGUGUAUACUUACCAAGUACUUUGUGCAGUGGUGAAAACAGAAAUGAUCUCCACAUCAGUGUCAUGGCAGCUGACUUAUAUCUGCAUUAAAUAAAUGAGCAUAAAUUGAUAAUGAAACAAAGGAAAUAAGACUCACACAUCUAUUACUGUAACAUAAGGAGAAAGUAUUCUGUGUUAUGAGAGCUUAGUGGCAAAAGAAAGAAUUUCCAUCUAGGCAUAUGCUACAAUUUUAUAGAGGAGAUGGCAUUAAAACUGAUUCUUACAGAAAGGUUUGGUCAUACAUAUGUGCAAAUUUUGAAGGGUGUGUUCUAUGUAUAUUUAACAAAGUUAACGUUGAAGAGAAAGUUUUGUAAUGCUGGAUAAUUCAAGUUGUUUAGAGUGAAGAGAUUUUAAGUUAGUGUACCAUGUGGAAGAAUAAAUUUGGACCAUAAUCUUGAAAAGCCUACAAUAGUAAGGUCGUGAGUUUCAAUGAGGGAGAUAAUAUCGUGUAAGAGCAAUGUUGAAUAAUAAUAAUAUUAAAAGUAAUGAUAAUAAUGGUUUAUUUACAUGUAAAAAAGUCAACAAUGUAAACCUGUUCUGUGAUUGCUAGACACAUUUAAUAGAAGUGACAAUAAUGGGAAAAUAACAACAACAAAUACAAUUUGAUUUGCUAAUGCAUGAUCUGUUUUUAGGUAAUUAAAAAAAAUUACAUUUAUAAUGCACCUUCACUAACGGUUUCUCAGAUUUCCUUGACCAUCUUAAUUGGUCUAACCCAUGCAAUCAUUCCUACUUCUGUACUAAGUCAAAAUAGUAUAUUACAAGGCCUGAGAUCUUGCUUCUUAACUUCUGUGGAGCUCAAUGAAGCAACCUGGAAAUGGAAAAGCCAGUGAGAGAUAAGAGACUGAAGGAAUCUAAGCAUACACAUUUUCCUUGUUUUCUUCCCUGUUUGUACAAUUUACAGGUAUGGUUCUCUCUGCAGUCAACCUUCCAUUGAAUUCCCACAUGACAGGGAAACACAUUUGCUGUGUUGCUUUCAGUAUCUCUUUGCAGCUCAUCGGGAAGCAGUAGACAUAACAGUAAUACACUUCAUGCUUCUUCUUGCCUCCCCCCCCGCCACCCCAUGUUGAGCUUCCAUCUUCCAAAUAAAGACUCUGGCUAAGAAAGGGAUAUUGACAAGUGUGAUUAAGUCAAAAGGAGGGGAGAAAUAUAUAUAUAUAUAUUGUCUUUGUCUUUUGUCUUUUGAGGGCAGCACCUGUGGCAUGUAGAGGUUCCCAGGGCUAGGGGUUGAAUCAGAGCUGUAGCUGCCGGCCUACACCACAUCCACAGUAACACCAGAGCCAAGCUGCAUCUGCAACCCACAUCACAACUCACCCCAGAUCCUUAACCCACUGAGCGAGGCCAGGGAUCGAACACACAACCUCAUGGUUCCUAGUUGGAUUCAUUUCCGCUGAGCCAUGACGGGCACCCCUCAGUAAUAUUUUUAAGUGCUUUCUAUGUUCCCAAUUUUUUUUUCAGUACUUUCACAAAUUAUCUUUGAGAGUCCUUCAUAGUAAUGCCAUUAUUUACAUUUACAGAUAAGGAAAUAGAGGUUCAGAAAUGGAGAAUAUAUUACUUGUGCUUAAACAGGUAGUAGGGGAUAGAAUGAAGGUUCAGAGUUUGGAUAAGUUGCUUAUCAUGAUAGAAGUAGUAGAAGAAAUACAACUCAGAGAGGUGACCUAACUGAUUGUAUCCAAACUCAAGUUAAUGGAGGGAGAAAAGAAUUUCACAGUCUUGACAUAACUUAUUCUGUAAUUGAUAUCAAUUGCUUUGUCUCACUCCCUCUCGCAGAGGAAGGAAGGAAAGAAGAUGAGGAAAUCUUAUAAAAGAUUAAAAUGAUUAAGAUGCCUACAAAGAAGAAAAGAUAAUUCAAAGGACAAAGGCGCUUUUAAGUAUAUGAAGUAUUUUCUUAUGAAAAAGACAUUUCAGAUUAUGACUAUAAAAUCCAAAAGUAAAAGAGAAAAAUAGCAAAAAAACUCACUUUGGCUGAAAAAAAAAAUUCUGCAAACUGGUAACUACUUAAAAAAAAAAAAGCCUACGAUGCGUGAUUUUGCCCAUCACUGGUAUCCCUGUAGGAGGGAUCAAAUAUGGUCUGAAAGAUUUUAGGACUAUGCUGUGGAGAAAAUGUUGGAUUCAAUUAUCUUUAUAGUAAUCCUUUCUAACACAGAGAUUAUAUGAUUUUGAAAUUUUCUCAUUUGACUAAAUUUUGAAUGCACUAAAGUUUUAAAAGCAAGACAUUAUGAAUAGUUACUAUGAAUAGAUACUAUGACCAUUUGCCCCCAAAUUUCAGCUAGGCAAAGAUUUCCUUUUAAUCAUGCAAAUUAAUACUGGAAAAUAGGCAUCUCAUUCACAGUGUCAUGAGUUUCUAACCUUAAACUAAUGCAGUGCCCACAUCAUUGUGUGACUAUUUUGGAAAGAAUUAAUUCUUCAUUUCAUAAGAAAAAAUUGUGUAAAGGUCAAGGUAAGGCUUUCGUUCUUGAUAAAGAAUGUGUUGAUGUCAACUUUAACCCAAUAAUUGCCCUCUGUUAUCAAGAGUAUUAUAUAUAAAACUUCAGUGACAUGUGGAACAUAAAUCAGUUCUGAGUAGGUGUUAAAAAUACCCAGGGAGUUAAUGUAGCUUUUGAGAUCUAGGGUAUACUAAAUUAUCUCGUUAUUUCAAAUAUGAUCUUCAAACCUAGAUCUUCAAUCUCUUUUUUAUUAUAAAACUUAUAAUAAAAAAGAAUUCAUAAUUAUCAUUAAUAUCAACAAAUCUUAUAUAUAUUC